rnacentral:piRNA from 2 species
UGCUGAGCCCUAGUAGAGAAUGUUCUA